rnacentral:rRNA from 1 species
AGCAGCCGCGGUAAUUCCAGCUUCAAUAGCGUAUAUUAAAGUUGUUGCAGUUAAAAAGCUCGUAGUUGAAUUUCGGGAUUAGUACGCUGGUCGUGCCUUAGGUAUGCACUGGUGUUACUGGUUCCUACCUUCUGAUGAACUGUCAUGUCAUUAAUUUGGUGUGGCGGGGAAUCAGGACUGUUACUUUGAAAAAUUAGAGUGUUUAAAGCAGGCUCGCGCUUGAAUACAUUAGCAUGGAAUAAUGAAAUAGGACGUUCGAUCCUAUUUUGUUGGUUUCUAGGAUUGACGUAAUGAUUAAUAGGGAUAGUUGGGGGCAUUAGUAUUCAAUUGUCAGAGGUGAAAUUCUUGGAUUUAUUGAAGACUAACUACUGCGAAAGCAUUUGCCAAGGAUGUUUUCAUUAAUCAAGAACGAAAGUUAGGGGAUCGAAGACGAUCAGAUACCGUCGUAGUCUUAACCAUAAACUAUGCCGACUAGGGAUCGGAUGAUGUUAUUUUUAAUGA